rnacentral:rRNA from 1 species
AUGAACGCUAGCGACAGGCCUAACACAUGCAAGUCGAGGGGCAGCGCGGGAGAAGCUUGCUUUCCUGGCGGCGACCGGCGCACGGGUGCGUAACAGGUGUGCAAUCUGUCCAUAGUCGGGGGGAUAGCCCAGCGAAAGCUGAAUUAACACUCCAUGUGAAUCGAAGCCGCAUGACUUUGAUUUGAAACGCAAGGACUAUGGGUGAGCACGCUUCUGAUUAGCUAGUUGGUGGGGUAACGGCUCACCAAGGCGACGAUCAGUAGGGGUUCUGAGAGGAAGGUCCCCCACAUUGGAACUGAGACACGGUCCAAACUCCUACGGGAGGCAGCAGUGAGGAAUAUUGGUCAAUGGGCGAGAGCCUGAACCAGCCAAGUCGCGUGAAGGAAUGAAGGUUCUAUGGAUUGUAAACUUCUUUUGUCCGAGGGUAAAAAAGGCCACGUGUGGCUUCUUGCAAGUAUCGGACGAAUAAGCAUCGGCUAACUCCGUGCCAGCAGCAGC